GUAAGGUGAUAUGAACCGUUAUAGCCGGCGAUGUCCGAAUGGGGAAACCCAGUGUGAUUCGUCACACUAUCGUUAACUGAAUACAUAGGUUAACGAGGCGAACCGGGGGAACUGAAACAUCUAAGUACCCCGAGGAAAAGAAAUCAACCGAGAUUCCCCCAGUAGCGGCGAGCGAACGGGGAGCAGCCCAGAGUCUGAAUCAGCUUGUGUGUUAGUGGAACGGUCUGGAAAGUCCGACGGUACAGGGUGAUAGUCCCGUACACCAAAAUGCACAGGCUGUGAACUCGAAGAGUAGGGCGGGACACGUGGUAUCCUGUCUGAAUAUGGGGGGACCAUCCUCCAAGGCUAAAUACUCCUGACUGACCGAUAGUGAACCAGUACCGUGAGGGAAAGGCGAAAAGAACCCCGGCGAGGGGAGUGAAAAAGAACCUGAAACCGUGUACGUACAAGCAGUGGGAGCACCUUCGGGUGUGACUGCGUACCUUUUGUAUAAUGGGUCAGCGACUUAUAUUCUGUAGCAAGGUUAACCGUAUAGGGGAGCCGCAGGGAAACCGAGUCUUAACUGGGCGUUAAGUUGCAGGGUAUAGACCCGAAACCCGGUGAUCUAGCCAUGGGCAGGUUGAAGGUUGGGUAACACUAACUGGAGGACCGAACCGACUAAUGUUGAAAAAUUAGCGGAUGACUUGUGGCUGGGGGUGAAAGGCCAAUCAAACCGGGAGAUAGCUGGUUCUCCCCGAAAGCUAUUUAGGUAGCGCCUCGUGAACUCAUCUUCGGGGGUAGAGCACUGUUUCGGCUAGGGGGUCAUCCCGACUUACCAACCCGAUGCAAACUACGAAUACCGAAGAAUGUUAUCACGGGAGACACACGGCGGGUGCUAACGUCCGUCGUGAAGAGGGAAACAACCCAGACCGCCAGCUAAGGUCCCAAAGUCAUGGUUAAGUGGGAAACGAUGUGGGAAGGCACAGACAGCCAGGAUGUUGGCUUAGAAGCAGCCAUCAUUUAAAGAAAGCGUAAUAGCUCACUGGUCGAGUCGGCCUGCGCGGAAGAUGUAACGGGGCUAAACCAUGCACCGAAGCUGCGGCAGCGACACUAUGUGUUGUUGGGUAGGGGAGCGUUCUGUAAGCCUGCGAAGGUGACCUGUGAGGGUUGCUGGAGGUAUCAGAAGUGCGAAUGCUGACAUAAGUAACGAUAAAGCGGGUGAAAAGCCCGCUCGCCGGAAGACCAAGGGUUCCUGUCCAACGUUAAUCGGGGCAGGGUGAGUCGACCCCUAAGGCGAGGCCGAAAGGCGUAGUCGAUGGGAAACAGGUUAAUAUUCCUGUACUUGGUGUUACUGCGAAGGGGGGACGGAGAAGGCUAUGUUAGCCGGGCGACGGUUGUCCCGGUUUAAGCAUGUAGGCUGGUUGUCCAGGCAAAUCCGGAUAAUCAAGGCUGAGGUGUGAUGACGAGGCACUACGGUGCUGAAGUAACAAAUGCCCUGCUUCCAGGAAAAGCCUCUAAGCAUCAGGUAACAUCAAAUCGUACCCCAAACCGACACAGGUGGUCAGGUAGAGAAUACCAAGGCGCUUGAGAGAACUCGGGUGAAGGAACUAGGCAAAAUGGUGCCGUAACUUCGGGAGAAGGCACGCUGGUGUGUAGGUGAAGUCCCUGCGGAUGGAGCUGAGACCAGUCGAAGAUACCAGCUGGCUGCAACUGUUUAUUAAAAACACAGCACUGUGCAAACACGAAAGUGGACGUAUACGGUGUGACGCCUGCCCGGUGCCGGAAGGUUAAUUGAUGGGGUUAUCCGUAAGGAGAAGCUCUUGAUCGAAGCCCCGGUAAACGGCGGCCGUAACUAUAACGGUCCUAAGGUAGCGAAAUUCCUUGUCGGGUAAGUUCCGACCUGCACGAAUGGCGUAAUGAUGGCCAGGCUGUCUCCACCCGAGACUCAGUGAAAUUGAACUCGCUGUGAAGAUGCAGUGUACCCGCGGCAAGACGGAAAGACCCCGUGAACCUUUACUAUAGCUUGACACUGAACAUUGAGCCUUGAUGUGUAGGAUAGGUGGGAGGCUUUGAAGCGUGGACGCCAGUCUGCGUGGAGCCAACCUUGAAAUACCACCCUUUAAUGUUUGAUGUUCUAACGUUGGCCCCUUACCGGGGUUGCGGACAGUGUCUGGUGGGUAGUUUGACUGGGGCGGUCUCCUCCCAAAGCGUAACGGAGGAGCACGAAGGUUAGCUAAUCCUGGUCGGACAUCAGGAGGUUAGUGCAAUGGCAUAAGCUAGCUUGACUGCGAGCGUGACGGCGCGAGCAGGUGCGAAAGCAGGUCAUAGUGAUCCGGUGGUUCUGAAUGGAAGGGCCAUCGCUCAACGGAUAAAAGGUACUCCGGGGAUAACAGGCUGAUACCGCCCAAGAGUUCAUAUCGACGGCGGUGUUUGGCACCUCGAUGUCGGCUCAUCACAUCCUGGGGCUGAAGUAGGUCCCAAGGGUAUGGCUGUUCGCCAUUUAAAGUGGUACGCGAGCUGGGUUUAGAACGUCGUGAGACAGUUCGGUCCCUAUCUGCCGUGGGCGCUGGAGAAUUGAGGGGGGCUGCUCCUAGUACGAGAGGACCGGAGUGGACGCAUCACUGGUGUUCGGGUUGUCAUGCCAAUGGCACUGCCCGGUAGCUAAAUGCGGAAGAGAUAAGUGCUGAAAGCAUCUAAGCACGAAACUUGCCCCGAGAUGAGUUCUCCCUGAGACUUUAAGUCUCCUGAAGGAACGUUAAAGACGAUGACGUUGAUAGGCCGGGUGUGUAAGCGCAGCGAUGCGUUGAGCUAACCGGUACUAAUGAACCGUGAGGCUUAACCUU
rnacentral:rRNA from 1 species